ACUAGCUCCCCGGCUUCACCUCGUGUUUGUUAGCAAGUCCUGUCGGAAAGGGGGGACCGCGGGAGGGUGAGAGAGCUCAGUGUGCGUGUGACAGUGACAGAGAGAGGACGCGUGACUUCAGUGCCUUCCGUCUCCCUCCCCCCCCCACCUCUCUCUCUCUCUCUCUCUCGUGUAGCGCGACCCCAAUUACGAUGAGACACUACCGAGAAAAAUAACCUCAAACCCGCGAGAGAAAGUAGAGAAGGAAAGAAGUGAAAGUUCCGUGGAAAAAGGAACGGGAAAGUGAGAAAAUGAGACAAAAUAAACUACGAGAGGAAAGAAGGAAAAAUAUAAGUGAUUAGAACAAAUAAAAAGAGAGAGGACCUGAAGACUGGACCAUAUAACCACCAGUGUACUCUUACACACACACAUACACACACGCACAAAAAAAAAAAAAAAAAAAAAAAACUGCAGAAAAUAAAAAUGUUUCCCCUAAAAUGAGGCUCCGUCGGUCUUUGGCAGUCCCUCUCCCUGCAUUUGGCGACGAAAAGAACGCUUUAUUUGCCAUCCCUGUCCCUUCCCGACCAUCAUCCCCUGCCAGGGACUCUCGUCACGCCCAUCUCACGCCCCUGGCAAUGCCUGUUCCUCCUUGUCCUUGUGGCGACGCUGUGGCAGGAGGGACCAGGAGCCGAGGAAAGGCGCUAUUGCCCUCUUGAGGUCGU
rnacentral:lncRNA from 1 species